UGGGGAAUUUUGGACAAUGGGCGAAAGCCUGAUCCAGCAAUGCCGCGUGUGUGAAGAAGGCCUUCGGGUUGUAAAGCACUUUUGUCCGGAAAGAAAUCCUUGGCUCUAAUACAGUCGGGGGAUGACGGUACCGGAAGAAUAAGCACCGGCUAACUACGUGCCAGCAGCCGCGGUAAUACGUAGGGUGCAAGCGUUAAUCGGAAUUACUGGGCGUAAAGCGUGCGCAGGCGGUUUGCUAAGACCGAUGUGAAAUCCCCGGGCUCAACCUGGGGAACUGCAUUGGUGACUGGCAGGCUAGAGUAUGGCAGGAGGGGGGUAGAAUUCCACGUGUAGCAGUGAAAUGCGUAGAGAUGUGGAGGAAUACCGAUGGCGAAGGCAGCCCCCUGGGCCAAUACUGACGCUCAUGCACGAAAGCGUGGGGAGCAAACAGGAUUAGAUACCCUGGUAGUCCACGCCCUAAAACGAUGUCAACUAGGUUGUUGGGGAUUCAUUUCCUUAGUAACGUAGCUAACGCGUGAAGUUGACCGCCUGGGGAGUACGGUCGCAAGA
rnacentral:rRNA from 1 species